UCCGGUGCCGCCUCAUGGACAAAAUGAGCAACACUAGCACUGCGAGGAAGAAAAAGGAGAGUCUGUUUACCGAGGAGAUGUGGCUGUGUGCGCGCUAGUGAACAGUGACCGUUUGACAGCACUGCAGAAUAAGACCCCAGUUCAUCCAAGGGGAAAAAGUGGAGUACAUUCGUACAUGCAGUAAAGGAUUACAGACUAAUAAAACUCACAACAGUGAUUUAAAAAUUU